GUAGGAGCCUAGCGUUAUCCGAAUUUACUGGGCGUAAAGCGCAUGCAGGCGGCUUGGUAAGUGGAUUGUGAAAUCUCCCGGCUCAACUGGGAGGGGACGGUCCCGACUGCCAGGCUGGAGGCAGGGAGAGGGAGGUGGAAUUCCCGGUGUAGUGGUGAAAUGCGUAGAGAUCGGGAGGAACACCUGUGGCGAAAGCGGCCUCCUGGCCCUGACCUGACGCUGAGAUGCGAAAGCUAGGGGAGCGAACGGGAUUAGAAACCCCGGUAGUCCUAGCCGUAAACGAUGUCGACUGGGCGGCGGUGGGGUAAAAGCCAUCGGUGCCGCAGCUAACGCGAUAAGUCGACCGCCUGGGGACUACGGCCGCAAGGUUAAA
rnacentral:rRNA from 1 species